CGCCCGGCUCCCGUGGCUCCGCCCGGCUCCCGCCGCUCCCGCCGCUUACCCUUUGCUCGGUGCCGCGGGGGGCGGGCCGCGGCCGGCCGCGUCACGUGACGCGCGGUGCUCCCGGAACGGCCGCCCCGAGCCGCCCCGGCUGCCGGCGGCUCUGGCCCGGCCCGGCCGGGGCCUGCCGGGCUCGCCUGGUGCCGCACACGGAGCCCGACAGGCCUGCACGGAAUAAGGCUCCCGGCCUGAUCCUUUUUCAGACUCUCCACAGGAAUGCAUUGGCCUGAUGGAUGAACCCAGGGCUCAUCCAUCACCCAGGUCCUCAGAGCGGGCACUCAGAGCUGCUUGGUUUCUUCAGCCAGUACCAAAGCUACAGGACAGCAGCCAUUGGAGAAGCACCAUUGGUCAGGCUUGUGUGCCUCAGUGCACUCAGGUGAAAGAGUCCCAAGUGCUGUGCCAGAUCCUGCACCGAGGACAGGCACCUGCAUUAGCUCUUUUAAUGAGCUGUGUGCUGUGGUACUUUACUGCUGGUGGUUAUACAGGCGAUGACUUAUUCACUGAAAUGUUCAUCCAGGGAGAUAAACAAGUUGUGAGAGCUGCUCUCUGACUCUGCUUCAGAAGGCAACUUUUAAAUGAAGAAUGAAAUUAUCUAGGCAGAAUGCAGCAGGCAGAGAGUACAAGACAUCUAGAGAAGACCCGAGGAGCCGCAGCAGAUAAAAAUAGACAACUGCAGCAAUAUCCUUUGUGAAGUGCUGCUGACUGAGUUGGAGCCAGGCUAAGGAUUCAGCGGUGGGAUUAAAAAACUGUCAUUUUCUGU